UUAAAGUGUAGUUAUGGUUUUUAUGUUCAAUGUUUGACCGCUUAUAUUAUUUAAAAAUUUUCUGUGAUUAGUAUUUUUUUAUUAGAUAAUAAAAUAUAAAUAUUAUUUUAUAUGUAACUUAUUUUUAAAUUUUUUUAUAUUUUUUUAAUAAGACGAACAAUUAAAUUUAGACAUGAAAACCCACAGUAGGUCGAAAU
rnacentral:pre_miRNA from 1 species